CGUUUUGAGGGUAAAAUCAUACCUGUAGAGCAAACGCUGCGGACACAGCAGCAGUUUUAAAAAAGAUUUUAAGAUUAAUUUUUUUGCUCCUCUCACUCUAGCAGUUGAGCUGCCUCACUCUAGCCCCAACAUUCCGUCCCAUACACACCCAUUAUAAACUCUGAAACGGGUGAAAAAACAUCAUGAAACUUAAACUGGAACUGAAGAAAAAGUAUAAUAGAUAUUGAAAAGAUAAAUACAAGUUGAAUAGUUGAAUGUCUUGUCUUCGUUUUAAAGUUUGAAUGGUGGCUCUAUGUCAACGUAUGUUGAAGUAGUAAGAGUUUAAAAAUGAGUAAGUUGAAUGAGAAUUUGAAGGGUCUCCCCAUUGAAAUACAUGGGAAAUUUUUGUUGAAUAAAGUUGAAUAAAAUUAAAAAUAUAAAUGUUAAAAAUGAGAAAAAUAGAAGCAAUGUUGUCCAAAAUAAUAGGAAUCUAACGAUGUUUGAAUGGUUUUUCUAAGUUGAACGGUUUUGAAGGAGUAGGCUUUCAAAAAACGUACGGAAUACAGAAUAAAAUAUAAUAAUAAAGAUUAGAAGAACAAUACUGUGAAUGCUUUUCAAGCAUUCACACUAAUAAUAACUAGAAAAACAAUACUGUGAAUGCUUUUCAAGCAUUCACACUAACUAGAAAGUGCAUUUUCUGAAGAAACUGCAGUGUGAAUGCUUGAAUCUGAAUGUAUGCACUGAAAUGAAUUAAUUACUGAAUGUUAAUUAAAAAUCUUGAAUGAGAUAAAAAAAAAAAAAACCCCGAAUUUAACCUGAAAACAAAAGUGCUGAACUGCUAAAAGCUGAAGGUUACACAGAAGAAGAAGUUGGAAAAAAGCUGAAAAUGUUUUAAAUUGUAAAUUAGAAAAACC
ensembl:lncRNA